ensembl:lncRNA
ACUGUAUACAACUGAGUGUUACUUAUCAUGGCCAAUUAUGGACUAGAGCUGCUGCUGCUGCUAAGUCGCUUCAGUUGUGUCCGACUCUGUGCAACCCCAUAGAUGGCAGCCCACCAGGCUCCCCCAUCCCUGGGAUUCUCCAGAGGACACCUCUUUUCUGCUCAGGACUCCAGCUUAGCUGAGGAUGUGAUCCACCCUUCUUGCAACCAUUUCUGAAGAAUGUGGUCAGAAAGCCUCCAUCUUUCUGGUAUAAGCAAGUUCCCUAAAAUGAGAGUGAUCUGCCAAGAGGAGAAGCCCGAGAGCAAUGGUUAUAUUCUCCCUACUGGCCAGAAUGCUUUGUGUUCCGAACCAUGAGACAUGAGGACGUUGACUGUGGGAAGUGCGCAUCUCCGUUUCAUGUGGACACAGGGACUUAACCACCUUCGAUUUCCUUUUCCUGAACAGUCUUUGCCCAUAUCCCUUCAAAUACCCUAUGACUCGAGAUCCUCUUGGCCACCCUUGUUGAUUACCAUUAGUUUGCCCUUCUGAGAGAAAACCCCAUACAGUCACCCGUCAUCUGAACUUCGCUGCUCAAGAAUCAGACACCUCCUCUUGUCCCUUUCAGAACUGGCGUGGACUCAGGAACCGAACAUCCUGGACAUAGACAGUCCAAGGCAGGGACAGUACAUAACGCCCUUCCUGCAAAGGGCUACGGACUCAGCCUCCUCUAUGAAUCUUUCCUUGUCAGACCGUCUCUCCCAGGCUACCGUGAAAACCCGGGGAUUUGGGGCCAACACUUUUUUAGCAAAACAAAGAGGACUAUGACUUUAUUUUCUCUGUACUUUUUAUCUUGGGGGGGGGGCGGAAAGCUUGAUAGAUCAGCAGCUAUUUUAAGGGUUUAAAAAAAAAUGUAGGAUAUCAUUAGCACAAGAUUGCUUACAAAUGUGCACAUUAUCUUCCAAAAUGGCACUUUCUUAGUGUCUAGGAGAUUUAAAAAACUG